CGGCAGCACGGACUUCGGUCUGGUGGCGAGUGGCGAACGGGUGAGUAACAUAUCGGAACGUAUCCAAUAAUGGGGGAUAACUAAUCGAAAGGUUGGCUAAUACCGCAUACGCCCUACGGGGGAAAGCUAGGGACCUUCGGGCCUGGCGUUAAUGGAGCGGCCGAUAUCUGAUUAGCUAGUUGGUGAGGUAAAGGCUCACCAAGGCGACGAUCAGUAGCUGGUCUGAGAGGACGACCAGCCACACUGGAACUGAGACACGGUCCAGACUCCUACGGGAGGCAGCAGUGGGGAAUUUUGGACAAUGGGCGCAAGCCUGAUCCAGCCAUUCCGCGUGAGUGAAGAAGGCCUUCGGGUUGUAAAGCUCUUUCGCAAGGGAAGAAAACUUACCCUCUAACAUAGGGUGAGGUUGACGGUACCUUGAUAAGAAGCACCGGCUAACUACGUGCCAGCAGCCGCGGUAAUACGUAGGGUGCGAGCGUUAAUCGGAAUUACUGGGCGUAAAGCGUGCGCAGGCGGUUUUGAAAGUCAGAUGUGAAAUCCCCGAGCUCAACUUGGGAACUGCGUUUGAAACUCCAAAACUCGAAUAUGUCAGAGGGGGGUAGAAUUCCACGUGUAGCAGUGAAAUGCGUAGAGAUGUGGAGGAAUACCAAUGGCGAAGGCAGCCCCCUGGGAUAAUAUUGACGCUCAUGCACGAAAGCGUGGGGAGCAAACAGGAUUAGAUACCCUGGUAGUCCACGCCCUAAACGAUGUCUACUAGUUGUUGGUGGAGUAAAAUCCAUGAGUAACGCAGCUAACGCGUGA
rnacentral:rRNA from 1 species